AGUGAACGCUGGCGGCGUGCUUAACACAUGCAAGUCGAACGAGAACGGAAUAUAGCUUGCUAUAUUUGUCAGCUAAGUGGCGCACGGGUGAGUAAUGUAUAGAUAACCUGCCCUUAAGAAAGGAAUAACAGUUGGAAACGACUGCUAAUGCCCUAUAUGCCUUUAAUACAUAAGUCUGCAAGGGAAACGCUUUAGUGCUUAAGGAUGGGUCUGUAUGGUAUCAGCUUGUUGGUGGGGUAAUGGCUCACCAAGGCUAUGACGCCUAACUGGUUUGAGAGGAUGAUCAGUCACACUGGAACUGAGACACGGUCCAGACUCCUACGGGAGGCAGCAGUGGGGAAUAUUGCACAAUGGACGAAAGUCUGAUGCAGCAACGCCGCGUGGAGGAUGACACAUUUCGGUGCGUAAACUCCUUUUAUAUAGGAAGAUAAUGACGGUACUAUAUGAAUAAGCACCGGCUAACUCCGUGCCAGCAGCCGCGGUAA
rnacentral:rRNA from 1 species